rnacentral:rRNA from 18 species
UUCCCCCAGUAACCGCGAGUGAAGCGGGAAGAGCUCAAAUUUGAAAUCUGGUGGCCUCAGGUCAUCCGAGUUGUAAUCUAUAGAAGUGUUUUCCGUGCUGGCUCAUGUACAAGUCCCUUGGAACAGGGCGUCAUAGAGGGUGAGAAUCCCGUCCUUGACAUGAACUACCAGUGCUCUGUGAUACAUUUUCAACGAGUCGAGUUGUUUGGGAAUGCAGCUCAAAAUGGGUGGUAAAUUCCAUCUAAAGC